rnacentral:rRNA from 1 species
UACGAAGGGGGCUAGCGUUGCUCGGAAUCACUGGGCGUAAAGGGUGCGUAGGCGGGUCUUUAAGUCCGGGGUGAAAUCCUGGAGCUCAACUCCAGAACUGCCUUUGAUACUGAGGAUCUUGAGUCCGGGAGAGGUGAGUGGAACUGCGAGUGUAGAGGUGAAAUUCGUAGAUAUUGGGAAGAACACCGGUGGCGAAGGCGGCUCUCUGGACCGAGACUGACGCUGAGGCGCGAAAGCGUGGGGAGCAAACAGG